rnacentral:rRNA from 1 species
GUGGGGAAUCUUCCGCAAUGGACGAAAGUCUGACGGAGCAACGCCGCGUGAGUGAAGAAGGUUUUCGGAUCGUAAAGCUCUUUCGUUAGGGACGAACGUGCUCUUUGUGAAUAAUGAGGAGUAAUGACGGUACCUAAAUAAGAAGCCACGGCUAACUACGUGCCAGCAGCCGCGGUAAUACGUAGGUGGCAAGCGUUGUCCGGAAUUAUUGGGCGUAAAGCGCGCGCAGGCGGGAUAUCAAGUCUGUCGUAAAAGUGCGAGGCUCAACCUCGUGAGGGGACAGAAACUGGUAUUCUUGAGUGUCGGAGAGGAAAGUGGAAUUCCAAGUGUAGCGGGAAAUGCGUAGAGAUUUGGAAGAACACCAGUGGCGAAGGCGACUUUCUGGACGAUGUCUGACGCUGAGGCGCGAAAGCUAGGGGAGCGAACGGGAUUAGAUACCCUUGUAGUCC